UACGGGGGGGGCAAGCGUUGUUCGGAAUUACUGGGCGUAAAGGCUCGUAGGCGGCCAACUAAGUCAGACGUGAAAUCCCUCGGCUUAACCGGGGAACUGCGUCUGAUACUGGAUGGCUUGAGUUUGGGAGAGGGAUGCGGAAUUCCAGGUGUAGCGGUGAAAUGCGUAGAAUAUCUGGAGGACACCCGUGGCUAAGGCGGCUCUCUAGUACGGUAC
rnacentral:rRNA from 1 species